AGGGUUAAUUUUCGCAGCCCUCACAACCUAACCUCUGAAACUUUCGCAUUCUCAAUAGCGCAGCUGCUUCGAAGAAAGAACUAAACCCAUUUUGUUUCCUCUCUCAAUCGCCAUUCCCAGGUGUCGCGCCGCUUUCCAGCUUAUCUACCGGCUACCGCGUCGUGGCCGACAAUCUCUCUCCGAUGCGACGUGACUGGUUUUCCUGCAACUGUCUACAAGUAUGUAACUGAAAAUGAAACGAUAAUCACAUAGUUACUACAAGUGUGGCGGGUCUUAUUGGCUAGCUAUUGCUAUAGUUGAAAGAGCCUUUUCAGCAAUGAAGAUCAUCAAAAGUGUUCUUUGCAAUCGUAUGGGAGACAAUCUUUUGAACGAUUGUUUAGUAUCUUACAUCGAAAAGGAUGUGUUUGUAAAUGUUACUAAUGAAGCUAUUAUGCAAAGGUUUUAGAACAUGAAGAAUAGGAGAGAAAUGUUGUGAUUUGUAAAAGAAAUUGUUUAUUUUGUCUUUUUGACUCGUUAUGUAAUUUAAAUGACAUUAUAAUUAUG